rnacentral:ncRNA from 1 species
GAAUAGAGGUGCGCGGUACGAAGAGUAGGCUGUGUGAGACGCCCGGUCGGUGAUCACAGCGGAAAGGCGUCGGCGCCGAAGAGGAAACAGCGGGGCGGCUUUUUCCUCUGGCCAUGCAGCGAAGAGCUGUCUGGCUGUCAUCAUCCGCGAUAUGAUGGAGCGCUAUU